AGAAGUUUUGUUUUUGAGAAAAGGGGCCAGUUUUGGGGAUUUUUUAGAUUUGGGCUAAGAAGGAGGGGCAGAAAAAAUAAAAAAAAAAUUGGUGAAGGAGGUCCGUCCAUGGUGUCUCUCUGCGAUUCAAAUUCCUCAGCCAGCAACCAGCGUAGCUCACAUAAUAAGGUUGCUGAAUUGCUAGAGUAAUUUGGGAGCAUGGGCAAGUAGCGGUUGUAGUCUUGGCUUUCUUGUAGCUUUGGGGAUUUUUUUAUACUGCUUUAGGAUUAAAAAAAGGCUUCAAGCUCAAGUGCUGUAAAAACAGUAAGCAAACAUUAGAGAGGACGAAGAUAGAAUAGGAAUAUGGAGUGCAACAAAGAUGAGGCGGCUAGGGCAAAAGAGAUUGCGGAAAGAAAGUUCACAGCAAAGGAUCUUAUGGGGGCAAAGAAGUUUGCCUUGAAGGCUCAAAAUUUGUUUCCGGGGUUAGAGGGGAUGCCCCAGAUGUUGGCAACCCUCGACGUGCAUAUUGCGGCGGAGAACAAAAUAAAUGGGGAGGCUGAUUGGUACGGGAUACUUGGUGCGGAUCCAAAAGCAGAUGAUGAGGCAGUGAGGAAACAAUAUAGGAAACUAGCUCUUAUGCUUCACCCUGAUAAGAACAAGUCUAUAGGAGCUGAUGGAGCGUUUAAGCUACUAUCAGAAGCAUGGAGUUUGUUGUCUGAUAAAUCUAAGAGAGUAGCCUAUGACCAGAAGAGGAGAGUACACCAAAGGGUAGCGACUGCAAGUGGGAGUUCACAGGCUCCUCCAGGGGCCAAUGGUUUCUACAAUUUCACAAAAGGUGCAACGUCAGGCGCACAGACGCAGAAGGUUAAUACACAGACUCAGAAGAGUACCACACAGGCUCAGAAGGGUACCUCACAGAAUCAGAAGGGUACCUCAUGGGCCAGCCGCUCUUCAGCUUCUGCUUCAUCUCAAAAACCAAGAGCUAAUACCUUUUGGACAGUGUGUCAUAAAUGCAAGAUGCAGUAUGAGUAUCUCAGGAUUUAUCUUAAUCAUAAUCUUCUUUGCCCGAAUUGCCAUGAACCAUUUCUAGCAGUAGAAAUAGCUCCACCACCUACAAAUGGUGCCAAGUCAGCUCCACCAAAGCAUGAAACAGCUGAUAGAAUGGGUGUUGGAUCUGCUGGUUUCAAUGGUAAUCAAUCGUACAACCAAAACAGCUUCCAAUGGGGUUCAUUCUCUAAAGCAUCAGGUGCUUCCACGGCUACCCAAGCCGCAAGCGUGGUUAGCCAGGCAUAUGAGAAAGCCAAGAGAGAGCGCGAGCAGGCUCAAGCAGCAUUAAAAAGAGAGGAGUUGCGGAGGAAACAUCAAUCCUCCAGGAAGGCAAGCGGUGCUUCAUCUACAGGGUACCCUAAUGCUGCCAAGAGAAGAAGAGGAAUGGAAGAUUUUGGUGUCAGCAGCUAUGGAAGGGAUGUCACAAAUCAAAUGGGUGUGGGAGCUGGAGGAGCUGGAACAACCAAUUUUUCUGGACCAAAUGGAAGCGCCAGGCCUAGUAUCACAAGGGAUAUCUCCCAGAUUGAUAUUCCAAAUUUACUAAGGGAGAAGGCUAGAAAAGAAAUUCGGAAGAAACUAAAUGAAUUCACUGUAUCCAAGACUGCAGCCAAAGAGACGGUCAAUGGAAAUGAGAGAGAAAAAUCUUUGGGAAACAUUGAUGUGCAUAGAAAUCAAAAGCAGUCUGGUGAACCAGUGGACACAAAGAAUGGCUCUUCUGACAUGAAAGGUUCUGGCAUUUCUGGUGUCCGUUCAGAUGCAGACAUAUUGUCGAUAAAUGUUCCGGAUUCUGAUUUUCAUGAUUUUGACAAGGAUCGAACAGAGAAGUGUUUUGAAGAUAAUCAGGUCUGGGCUGCAUAUGAUAAUGAUGAUGGCAUGCCAAGGUUUUAUGCGUUAGUUCAAAAGGUGAUUUCUGUGGAUCCUUUCACAGUGCGGAUCAGCUGGCUGAACUCGAAAACAAAUAGUGAACUGGGUCCUCUUAACUGGGUAUCCUCUGGCUUCUCAAAGACGUGUGGGGAGUUCCGAGUAGGGAAAUAUGAAGUGAGUAAUUCACUUAAUUCUUUUUCUCACAGAGUUCGGUCAACAAAAGGUCCACGAGGGGCUAUCUGCAUAUAUCCCAGGAAGGGGGAUGUUUGGGCACUAUACCGGAAUUGGUCUCCAGACUGGAACGAACUGACAGCUGACAAUGUCAUUCACAAGUAUGAUAUGGUCGAAGUUGUUGAAGACUUUAGUGAGGAGCAAGGUGUACUUGUGACACCCUUGGUGAAAGUGGCUGGCUUCAAGACAGUAUUUCACCGGCACUUGGAUCCCAGAGAGGCCAGGAGGAUCCCUAGAGAAGAGCUGUUUCGGUUCUCUCAUCAAAUCCCUUCAUGCUUGAUCACGGGUCAGGAAGCUGCAAAUGCUCCAAAGGGUUGUCGGGAGCUGGAUCCAGCUGCUACUCCGUUGGAGCUUCUUAAAGUAAUAAAUGACAUUAAAGAGGAAGAUAUGAUGGAGAUUGAUUACAAGUGCCAGCAAGGCGAUGUAGCAGAGGAUGUUGAGAAUAAUACUGGCAUCUAGAUACAGCAGCGAAUUCUAGUCCUGUCACGGAAGAAGCGAAAAGGGGCUAAUUUGUGAUAUAUGCAGAUAGAAUUUGCUGACUUAUAAAUUUUGGGGCUAUGCAGCAUGAGUUGGUGAAUUUUUGUGGAAAGUUUGAUAGGUGAACAUCUCAUCCAUGUGCCCGGGGGGUUGAAGCAGGAAACCCUGAAGGUCCCCCUCACUGCAGCUGAAUCCGAGAUUUUGUUCGAGGCAAUAGAAGGAAUAUGGACGGCAACAAGGAUUCGGCAUCUUCAUCUACUCAGCCAACUUCCAGAUUGUUUUGGACGAGGUGCGAGAGGUGCAAGAUGCAGUUCCAAUACCAAAUCUUUUAUCUUCACUGUAGACUUAUAUGCCACAAUUGCGGCGGAAAUUGCUCCGCCACCGCAUAAUGCUUCCCUCCAGAACGUGCACGGGUUACGGUAGCACGAGCAGCUCCGGAAGAGAUGUGGGGAAUCAUCUACUGCAGUGAGGAGUGCUACUAAAAAAUCGUUGGGAAAGAGGCGUGCUGACGAGCAUUCUCUCUUGUGCACGAGGUCAUAUGGUAAAUAUAAUAGGAACAUUUUCCAUGGUUCUUGCUCCACCUCAGCAGCAGAACCUUUAGACCAAACAUCGUCGACAUUGAGUGUACCAGAUCCAGAUUCCGGUUUUGACAGGGAGAGAACCGAAGAGUCUUUUGGAGAAGAACAGGUCUGGGCGGUAUGUGAUGACAAAGAUAGGUGGACAAAAGUACCACCCGAGACACGCAGUGUAAUUUGCAUAUAUCCACAAAAGGGGCGAUGCUUGGGCCCUCUAUAAAACUUGGUCCCCAGACUAGAAUCGGUCGACAGCUGAGGAAGUGAUCCGCAAGUAUGAUACAGUGGAAGUUGACGAGUUUGACAAAAAGCUCGGCAUAAGGGUCAUUCCCCUAGCGAAAGUAUAGCUGCUUUUAGAACCGUGUUUCGUCAGGAUCGCACGAAUGGCUUGUGGGCGUAUCGUAGACAACAGAUGUUUCGGUUCUCCCACCAGGUUCCGGGGUACUUGCUUACAGGUGAAGAAUCUCCAAAAGAGCAAACGGUUCACUGGGCACUGGAUCCCGCAGCUCUUCCUCCAGAACUUCUUCUGGUCGUAAUUGAUAUCAACGGAUGAAGAAAUUAACUAUGAAGAACUUGGUAGGGUUUAGGUUUUGGAUUACUUGGUUUGAAGGGAAUGUAAUUUUUUGACUUAUAGAUUGGUUGAAUAUUUGUUUGACUGCAAUAGCAAAUUAUAUUUGUGUAAGGGAUGGAGAUGUACGAGCUCCCUCCCGUACAGAACUCUUAGCAAGAAACAUUUGUUCUUCA